rnacentral:rRNA from 1 species
AAUUUUGGACAAUGGGGGAAACCCUGAUCCAGCCAUCCCGCGUGUAUGAUGAAGGCCUUCGGGUUGUAAAGUACUUUUGGCAGAGAAGAAAAGGUAUCUCCUAAUACGAGAUACUGCUGACGGUAUCUGCAGAAUAAGCACCGGCUAACUACGUGCCAGCAGCCGCGGUAAUACGUAGGGUGCAAGCGUUAAUCGGAAUUACUGGGCGUAAAGCGUGUUGUGGCGGUUCGGAAAGAAAGGAGUGAAAUCACAGGGGUCAACCUUGGAAUGGCAUUUUUAACUGCCGGGCUAGGGUAUGUCAGAGGGGGGUAGAAUUCCACGUGUAGCAGUGAAAUGCGUAGAUAUGUGGAGGAAUACCGAUGGCGAAGGCAGCCCCCUGGGAUAAUACUGACGCUCAGACACGAAAGCGUGGGGAGCAAACA